UACGGAGGGAGCUAGCGUUGUUCGGAAUUACUGGGCGUAAAGCGCGCGUAGGCGGCUUUGUAAGUUAGAGGUGAAAGCCCGGAGCUCAACUCCAGAACUGCCUUUGAUACUGAGGAGCUUGAGUCCGGGAGAGGUGAGUGGAACUGCGAGUGUAGAGGUGAAAUUCGUAGAUAUUCGCAAGAACACCAGUGGCGAAGGCGGCUCACUGGCCCGGUACUGACGCUGAGGUGCGAAAGCGUGGGGAGCAAACAGG
rnacentral:rRNA from 1 species